rnacentral:lncRNA from 1 species
GUUCAGGACAGGGUACUGGGUGGAGGCUAGUAACAGUCUCUAAGGUUCAGGGCAGGGUACUGGGUGGAGGCUAGUAACAGGCUCUAAGGUUCAGGACAGGGUACUGGGUGGAGGCUAGUAACAGUCUCUAAGGUUCAGGACAGGGUACUGGGUGGAGGCUAAUAACAGUGACUAAGGUUCAGGACAGGGUACUGGGGGAGGCCGGUAACCUGCCCUGAGCUAUUUAACAGUCUGAUGGCCUGGAGAUAGAAGCUGUUUUUCAGUAUCUUGGUUCCAGCUUUGAUGCACCUGUACUGACCUCGCCUUCUAGAUGUUAGCUGGGUGAACAGGCUGUGGAUCAGGUACCUGAGGUCCUUAAUGAUCUUCUAGAUGUUAGCAGGGAGAACAGGCUGUGGAUCGGGUGGAUGAGGUCCUUAAUGAUCUUCUAGAUGUUAGCGGGGUGAACAGGCUGUGGAUCGGGUGGAUGAGGUCCUUAAUGAUCUUCUAGAUGUUAGCAGGGUGAACAGGCUGUGGAUCGGGUGGAUGAGGUCCUUAAUGAUCUUCUAGAUGUUAGUAGGGUGAACAGGCUGUGGAUCGGGUACCUGAGGUCCUUAAUGAGCUUCUAGAUGUUAGCAGGGUGAACAGGCUGUGGAUCGGGUGGAUGAGGUCCUUAAUGAUCUUCUAGAUGUUAGCGGGG